AAAAUAUUUUACAUACCUUAGUUCUCUCUAGUUUGUAAAGCAAAAAAAACUAGAGAGAAAAGGAUAUAUUAAUAUAGUUAUAAAUAUCUGUUUAAAAAGUUCUUUAUGUUACUUUUAAAAUUCAUAUAUAUAGAAGAUUAAUUUUCAAGUUUUGUCAUUUAAAAAAAGAUUUUUUAUUAGUUCUGGCGAAGCCUGUGCCAGCCGCCGCGGUUAUACAGGGGGGACGAAGGAAUUCAGUUGAGGUAAAAAAUUUUUUGAGAAGUUGGAGGCCAUUGGGGUGAAAUUUAUGGUUGGAUUCUGUAAAUUGAUUUUUAGAAAUUUUGAUUUAUAGACUAGGAUUAGAUACCCUAUUAUUAAAUAUGAAAGAUUGGUAGUAUUUGUAUAUAUGAAAUCUAAAGAUUAUGGCGGUAUCCUAAGCUUUUUAGAGGAACUUAUUCUGUAAUUGAUAAGACACAGACAUCUUACUUAGUUUGGUUAGGCAGUUUGUAUAUCGCUAUCAUUUAAUAAUAUUGGGUGGUUAUUAUUAAGAUAAGUUAUUUUUUAGGAUGUUAGGUCAAAAUGCAGCAUAAGGUUAAGUUUGAAAUAGGUUACAUUAAUUUAUAUUGGGGAAAUUGAAACAUUUGUUAGGAUUUAAUAGUAAAUUUGAAUUAUAAUGUUUAAUUGAAUUAAGCUCUAGAAUAUGUACAUAUCGCCCGUCACUCUCAGUGUGAGAUAAGUCGUAACAAAGUAAAGGUACCGGAAGGUGUCUUU
rnacentral:ncRNA from 1 species